rnacentral:misc_RNA from 1 species
AAGUCGUAACAAGGUUUCCGUAGGUGAACCUGCGGAAGGAUCAUUAAUGAAUUUUGGAGUUCUACUGUGCCUGCCGUUCAUUUGGAUGUGUGCACGUAGUCUCUAUAAAUCCUUAUCAACACCUGUGCACCUUUAAAAAGGGGGAAACUGAUUAAGCUUUUUACGGGCUUAUGAGGAAUAACCUUUUUUCUUAUACAAACUCUUAAUGUCUAUUAGAAUGUUCUCUGGCCGCAAGGCUAUAAAAUAUAAACAACUUUUAAGAACGGAUCUCUUGGCUCUC